CACAAAAUCAAUCUCUAAUAAGAAACUUUUCACUUGCCCCACGUGAUUAGAAAAUUGACGGUGUUUCAAUUUAGUUAGUUUUAGUUCUAUGUCGAAUCAAUUCUGAAACUUUUUUUAUUGCAGUUUAAAACUGUCAGAGGGGACAACUUAGAAGGAAUCUUAGAGGAAUCUCUUUCAUAUCGAAUGGCCUCGAAGGUUUACACAUGAGUUUAAAACGUUAAUUCACAUAUUUAGUAAAAUAUGCAAAUUAUUUUCACUUACCCCAUUUACCAACUUGCCCCGCGGUACCUUAUACCUUAAUUUUGAACUUAUGCUGGACUGCAAAGGUUAAUUAAUGAAAUCCUUCGGUCCUAUUUCUCUUAAUUAUUGGAGGAUAAGGGAAAGGGUUUAAUUACUGCUUGGGAAAUAUUUUAAUGAGUUGAUGGUCUUUUAUAUACACAACUUAUGGAGGUUUAACUGUAUAAAACCGCUUUGAAAUUGGAAGCUCCAAUUCUUGUUAAAUUUCUUGCAGGAGCGUAAUUUUCGAGCUAAGACUGCAUUUUGCUGAAGGAAUUUUGCAAUCGAACGGAUCAAUCCCCUUUCGCAUUGAGCUCAGGUUACGCUGAUGAUUUCUAGAAUAGGUUUAUUUUGGAAAUAAUGAUUCGAUGAAUUAAAGGAGAAAGCUUUCGAAAUAGGGAAUGAAAUGGGCAAGGGAUGCUUUAAAAAUAAAUUCUUUCGCGAAUACUACCUCAUGAGAUAUCCUCCCUAAAUUUCAAGAAAUCCUUCUUCAAAAGACUUAUUCCGAGAUUUUUGGCAAAACUUCUAAGCUUCUCAUUACUGAUAGCAACUAGCACAACUGCCCAAAGCUUAUUAUCUUUUUUUGGUAAGAUCCUUGAAAUUUCGAGAUAUUAAAUUGAGAUUGUUGGUGUGGUUUUGUGGAAGUUUUCUGACUUAAUUAUUUGUGUUCUUCAUGAUCUAAGUUAAUUUUUUUCUCAUCAUCUCCCCUAUGCGCAAUCAGUUUUAGUUAUGACAAAUAAUAUUCUUCCAAAGUUUUAAAUGAUUUCAUGCCUUUUGAAGUAUAUAAGCCAAUUGUGCUGGGCAUAUUUCUUGAAACGGCUCAUACAGGACCAGAUUCACAUAUACUUUCUCUCCGUCUUCAAUUACUGUUCAUCACCAAUGAGUUUCAUUCACACCUCAUGCAAAGUUCAAUUCAUUUUGGAGCGAUACCACUUGGCAUUAUAAUGCGUGGUAUGCACAUGAAA